GACGAACGCUGGCGGCGUGCUUAACACAUGCAAGUCGAACGAAGUGGCGAACGGGUGAGUAAUACGUGGGUAACCUGCCCUCCUUUUUGGGAUAAGCCUUGGAAACGGGGUCUAAUACCGAAUAUAGGGGGAUGGGCUCGCGGCCUAUCAGCUUGUUGGUGGGGGGAGGGCCUACCAAGGCGGUGACGGGUAGCCGGCCUGAGAGGGGAACUGGACACAGUGGGACGGGGUUGCGGACCACACAGCUAGGGGAGGCAGCAGGGGGGGAAAUAGAAGAAUGGGAGAAGGCGUGCUGCAGCGAGGACGCGUGGGGGAUGGAGGCCUUAGGGGUGUAAAGCUCUCUCGCUAGCGAACGGGUAGGUGGAGCAGACGCGCCGGCUAACUACGUGCCAGCAGCCGCGGUAAUUC
rnacentral:rRNA from 1 species